AUUGAACGCUGGCGGCAGGCCUAACACAUGCAAGUCGAACGAGUGGCGGACGGGUGAGUAAUGUCUGGGAAACUGCCUGAUGGAGGGGGUAACUAACGGAACCGUUAGCCAAUACCCCUUCCCAUCAGACGUGCCCCGAUGGGAUUAGCUUGUUGGUGGGGUAACCGCUUACCAAGGCGACGAUCCCUAGCUGGUCUGAGAGGAUGACCAGCCACACUGGAACUGAGACACGGUCCAGACUCCUACGGGAGGCAGCAGUGGGGAAUAUUGCACAAUGGGCGCAAGCCUGAUGCAGCCAUGCCGCGUGUAUGAAGAAGGCCUUCGGGUUGUAAAGUACUUUCAGCGGGGAGGCGUUACCCGCAGAAGAAGCACCGGCUAACUCCGUGCCAGCAGCCGCGGUAAUAC
rnacentral:rRNA from 1 species